rnacentral:rRNA from 1 species
AGAACGAACGCUGGCGGCAUGCCUAAUACAUGCAAGUCGAACGAACACUUCGGUGUUAGUGGCGCACGGGUGCGUAACGCGUGGGAAUCUGCCCUUGGGUUCGGAAUAACAGUUGGAAACGACUGCUAAUACCGGAUGAUAUCGAAAGAUACAAAGAUUUAUCGCCCAGGGAUGAGCCCGCGUAGGAUUAGCUAGUUGGUGAGGUAAAGGCUCACCAAGGCGACGAUCCUUAGCUGGUCUGAGAGGAUGAUCAGCCACACGUGGGACUGAGACACGGCCCAGACUCCGUACGGGAGCAGCAGUAGGGAAUAUGGACGAUGGGCGACAAGCCUGAUCCAGCAAUGCCGCGUGAGUGAGUGAAGGUCCGUUAGGGUUAGUAAA